rnacentral:rRNA from 1 species
UACGAAGGGGGCUAGCGUUGUUCGGAAUUCCUGGGCGUAAAGCGCGCGCAGGCGGUCUUCCAAGUCAGUGGUGAAAGCCCGGAGCUCAACUCCGGAACUGCCAUUGAAACUGUAAGACUUGAGGAUGAGAGAGGUGAGUGGAAUUCCCAGUGUAGAGGUGAAAUUCGUAGAUAUUGGGAAGAACACCGGUGGCGAAGGCGGCGAUCUGGGUCGAUACUGACGCUGAGGUGCGAAAGCGUGGGGAGCAAACAGG